GGGAGGUGCAGAGCUUAGCUGAUUGGUGAACAGUGAUUGUGUCCCUCUUUGUUCACAGUGGCUAAGUUCUGCACCUGAA
rnacentral:pre_miRNA from 1 species